ACUCCUACGGGAGGCAGCAGUGGGGAAUAUUGCACAAUGGGCGCAAGCCUGAUGCAGCCAUGCCGCGUGUAUGAAGAAGGCCUCGGUUGUAAAGUACUUCUAGCAGUGAGGAAGGUAGGGUAGUGUUAAUAGCAUACUCAUUUGUACGUUAGCUGCAGAAGAAGCACCGGCUAACUCCGUGCCAGCAGCCGCGGUAAUACGGAGGGUGCGAGCGUUAAUCGGAAUUACUGGCGUAAAGCGCAUGCAGGUGGUUUGUUAAGUCAGAUGUGAAAGCCGGGGCUCAACCUCGGAAUUGCAUUUGAAACUGGCAAACUAGAGUACUGUAGAGGGGGUAGAAUUUCAGGUGUAGCGGUGAAAUGCGUAGAGAUCUGAAGGAA
rnacentral:rRNA from 1 species